rnacentral:rRNA from 1 species
UACGUAGGGUGCAAGCGUUAUCCGGAAUUAUUGGGCGUAAAGAGCUCGUAGGCGGUUUGUCGCGUCUGCUGUGAAAACUGGGGGCUCAACCCCCAGCCUGCAGUGGGUACGGGCAGACUAGAGUGCGGUAGGGGAGAUUGGAAUUCCUGGUGUAGCGGUGGAAUGCGCAGAUAUCAGGAGGAACACCGGUGGCGAAGGCGGGUCUCUGGGCCGUUACUGACGCUGAGGAGCGAAAGCGUGGGGAGCGAACAGGA